CCUACGGGGGGCAGCAGUGGGGAAUAUUGCGCAAUGGGCGAAAGCCUGACGCAGCGACGCCGCGUGAGGGAUGAAGGUCUUCGGAUCGUAAACCUCUGUCAGCAGGGAAGAACGGUCACUGUGCUAAUCAGCAGUGAAUUGACGGUACCUGCAAAGGAAGCACAGGCUAACUCCGUGCCAGCAGCCGCGGUAAUAUGGAGGGUGCGAGCGUUACUAGGAAUUACUGGGCGUAAGGCGCUCGUAGGCGGUAUGUCAAGUCAAGGGUGAAAUCCCCGCGCUCAACGUGGGAACUGCCGUUGAAACUGGCAAACGUGAGUGUGUGAGAGGAUAGUGGAAUGCCAGGUGUAGGAGGGAAAUCCGUAGAGAUCUGGAGGAACAUCAGUGGCGAAGGCGACUAUCUGGCACAUAACUGACGCUGAGGAGCGAAAGCGUGGGUAGCAAACAGGAUUAGAUACCCUGGUAGUC
rnacentral:rRNA from 1 species